rnacentral:snRNA from 1 species
CUACUACGGUUUCUCUUCAGAUCGUAUAAAUCUUUCGCCUUCUACUAAAGAUUUCCGUGAAGAGGAACACAAUUUUUUAGGGUCACAAAAAC